GUUACUGUUAUUACUGUUCAUAAAGGACGGAAAAGACGAAAAAAUCACAGUGUUGCCAUUCGUGUUCUUUCGCCUUCCUCCACACUCUCUCAAAUUCAGAAGAAUCAGAAAGUCAACUCUGUUUUCGCGAUCCAAAGGAAAGAAAGAAAAUCCCAUUCCAAACAACUCCGAUUGUCUUUUGAUUGCUUUGGAUUUGGAUUUUGGUUUCAUUUUCAAAGCUUUGUCGUGUCUUUAGGUGGUCGAAGAGGUUUUGUUGGUGUGAUAGAAAGGGGAAGAAGAGGGAUUGAACUCGGCAGUGUUGGAAAGUUUGAAGCUUUGAUCGGGUAUGCAGAAUUUGGUGGGGCAGUUCCUACUAGACCUGCAUAGGACUUGGCAUUUUCAAUUGCAAGGUUUAUACAAAAUGGUGGUUCUUUUGCCAACUACUACCUGUACCAUGGAGGAAUGAAUUUUGGCCGAAUGCUGGCAGUCACUUCAUUGCAACUAGCUAUGACUAUGAUGCAUAUCUAUAUGAAUAUGGUAUGCAAAUAGGGGAUUAACAUUUUGACUAGGUUCUUUGUAAAUUUUGGCUCAUAACCCUGCUUUACAAAUUUAACAUUUUCCUAAUAUUAAAUGUUAAACAUUUCCCUAAUGUUAAAUGUGUAAAGUAAGGGAAUUGGUUAUAAACCAAACAUCAUCUUUCGUGAAGUCUAUUACUUACCUAACACAUGCUUUUUCCUAUUUAUUCUAGGACUACCUAGGGAACCAAAAUAUAACCAUUUGAAGUAUUAGCACAAAGCCAUCAAAUUAAUUAGCUGAGCCAGCUUUAGUGCUUAUGUAAUUAGCUGAGCCAAUGUGAGAUAAAGUCCUUUCAUUGUUAAGGACUUUAUCUAGGAUGAGCUAAUAGAAUUUAUCUAUGAUAGGUAUGUAAUUUGGCGCCCUUAUUAAAUAUUUUGGUUUCUUAGCAUUAAGCUGCAACUUGGACAUGGAAUGUUUAAUAGUUAAUAUAAUGAUCAUGUUAACUAUA